CACGUGCGUUUUAUUUGCCUUUAUUCCCCGCCCCUUUCCCCCUGCAAGUUGCCCGCCCAGCAUGGUAUCCUCACGCCCAGUUUCAUCCUCACAACGACCCUGCGAGGUUUGUCAGCUGAUUGUCUCCUGUUCAGUAUUACAUACUGCUGAGAAAGCUGUAUUGAUGCUGCAACUGCCUCUUCUGCACCAAGGAGUGGGACUGAAAAGGAUCCAGCCCACUGACCAGAUCUGAAUUUCAUUACAUUGGACAUAAGAGGAUUCAUUUGUGCUUUGUUUUCACCAAGGCAGCAGA